AUAAUACUCCAUAGAUUAGAGACACUGGAAUGUUCUUUAGUCGAAAGUUCUGGCGCCUUAGGAUGGAUCUGCGGUCGAUUAGGUUGUUGUUGGGGUAACGGCCCAACAAGCCUGUAAUCGAUACGGGUUGUGGGAGCAAGAGCCCGGAGAUGGAAUCUGAGACACGAUUCCAGGCCCUACGAGGCGCAGCAGGCGCGAAAACUUUACAAUGCAGGAAACUGUGAUAAGGGAACUCCGAGUGCCCGUAUACGCGGGCUGUCCAGGUGUUUAAAAAUCAUCUGAAGAAAGGGCCGGGCAAGACCGGUGCCAGCCGCCGCGGUAAUACCGGCGGCUCGAGUGGUGGCCACUAUUAUUGGGCUUAAAGCGUCCGUAGCUGGACCGAUAAGUCUCUUGGGAAAUCCGCCGGCUCAACCGGCGGGCGUCUAAGGGAUACUGUUAGUCUAGGGACCGGGAGAGGUGAGAGGUACUCCGGGGGUAGGAGUGAAAUCCUGUAAUCCCCGGGGGACCACCGAUGGCGAAGGCAUCUCACCAGAACGGCUCCGACAGUGAGGGACGAAAGCUGGGGGAGCGAACCGGAUUAGAUACCCGGGUAGUCCCAGCCGUAAACUAUGCGCGUUAGGUGU
rnacentral:rRNA from 1 species